AUUGAACGCUGGCGGCAUGCUUUACACAUGCAAGUCGAACGGUAACAGGCCGCAAGGUGCUGACGAGUGGCGAACGGGUGAGUAAUGCAUCGGAACGUGCCCAGUCGUGGGGGAUAACGCAGCGAAAGCUGUGCUAAUACCGCAUACGAUCUAUGGAUGAAAGCGGGGGACCGUAAGGCCUCGCGCGAUUGGAGCGGCCGAUGUCAGAUUAGGUAGUUGGUGGGGUAAAGGCCCACCAAGCCAACGAUCUGUAGCUGGUCUGAGAGGACGACCAGCCACACUGGGACUGAGACACGGUCCAGACUCCUACGGGAGGCAGCAGUGGGGAAUUUUGGACAAUGGACGCAAGUCUGAUCCAGCCAUUCCGCGUGCAGGAUGAAGGCCCUCGGGUUGUAAACUGCUUUUGUACGGAACGAAAAGGUUUCUAUUAAUACUAGGGGCUCAUGACGGUACUGUAAGAAUAAGCACCGGCUAACUACGUGCCAGCAGCCG
rnacentral:rRNA from 1 species